AUAAAGAUGCUAUAUUUUUGGAACCCUUUGCUUGAUGGCCCUACUUAGGGAAUCAAGGUCAAUAAUAUUAUCAAUGGAUAGAGUGCUAUACUUUCCCUUGGCCGCUGACUGACUUGUAAAGAAUAAUUUGAAUGAUUGUCCCUUUUGCUGCUACAUUCCUUACUAGUCUCCUUUCAUUUAUAGACCUAUGAACGAGCUUGCAUUAAGAAAUGGCUUG
rnacentral:misc_RNA from 1 species